UACGGAGGGUGCAAGCGUUAUCCGGAUUACUGGGUUUAAAGGGUGCGUAGGCGGGCCUUUAAGUCAGUGGUGAAAGCUCCGAGCUUAACUCGGAAACUGCCAUUGAUACUAUUGGUCUUGAAUUCGGUCGAGGUUGGCGGAAUGUGUCGUGUAGCGGUGAAAUGCUUAGAUAUGACACAGAACACCGAUUGCGAAGGCAGCUAGCUAGACCGACAUUGACGCUGAGGCACGAAAGCGUGGGGAUCAAACAGG
rnacentral:rRNA from 1 species